rnacentral:lncRNA from 1 species
ACUCUCCACUCCGAGGCUCAGGGAGCAAGUGCCUGGUAUGGGGGGUAAAAGUUGGCUUUUUUUUUACUCCUUGGUCUUUUGCGCCCUUCUCCCUCUCCCCAGAAGGGAAGACCCAUUUAAACUAUUUUAGACGCAAUCAACCAAGAAUCACCAUGUGGAAUUGAGCGGCAGUUUUAAAUGUGUUGAGCAGAGGAGAGGAAUGAUGAGAAAAACAUUUUUUUUUUUUUUUUUGGAGACGCCGAAAGAAGCCUGUUUGUGUGCUGCGGCCGUGCUGUGACUCUGGAUCUUGUCUUUCAGCCGGCGCCUCGGUUCCUGCCCAGCUGGAUUUGGGGGGCAGCAUUGCCUGGCGCAGGGAGAUCAAAUGAGACUGCAAAGAACAUAAAAUGAAUAGACAAUCCAACCAACCAAAGACCGGGGGCAGCAGCAGGCCAGCAAGACGGCAUCUUCUCCUUCCCAGCCUAGAAGCCCUGUGAAAUCGAGGAUCUUCCCCCUAAAACACAUACACACAAGAUAUGUGCAAUCAAGCUGCCACCGCUUGGUAAAAAGCUCAUGGUGCCUAACCAAAAAGGAUCAGGAACAGAUCCUUGAAUCAGCUGUCACUUCUAUAGAAUGGGAUUUUUUUUCCUUCCUCCUUAACCUGCGCUGGAAAUUGCCGUUGGCUUUAUACAUCUCUAUAGAGAGAGGCUAAAGAGUCUUGCGUGAGAAAGAAGCAAUUUACAAUGCAAAUAGAGGCCUGUGAAGGGACGGAUGCUGCUGCUCACUCGUAACAGCUUGCUGCACCUUAAUAGCUGGUUUUAUUUUCUGAUAUUAAUAGAUGAAUUGUUGGCUAACGCUGCCGGAGAUUACUUGCUGAAAGGAAAAAAAAAAGUUCGGAAUAAACUCUGAAGGCAACAGAUCUCGUUUGGAUGUUUUAGCCGCGCACACACACAAACAGAAACCAGGUCAUAUUUACAUAAAAGGAGGAAUCUUAAGCGCGGCAAGUAUCCUGGACGACCACUCUUCGGUACUGCCAGAAAGGAUCAGGACCUGGAGUCUGGCAAGAGGAAGACAGAGGCCUGUGUGGGAAGCGAGUUGUUAUCUUUGGUUAUCUAGCUGUAUGAGUGUAUUGGUCUUCAUAAAGCUAGAUAACCGAAAGUAAAAACUCCUUCAAGAUCGCCGGGGAGCGUGUGAGAAUGAAAGACUACAGCCGAGAGACAGUAAAAACCAGAAAGGUCAGGAAUACUUAUUGAAUCUAACUUUGUUUUUGUUUUGUUUUUUUCCUUAUGAUUAAAGGUGGGAUGAGAGAAAAUUAAAUGACACACAACAUGCUAAAAUAUCAAGGUGCCAGAUAUGUCUUGAGAGGGGUUGUUGCAGCUGCAAAGGAGAAGUGUAUAGUGAUAAUGAGUAAAGAUGCAUGUGCAGUUUGUUCUAUUUUAAGGCAAAAGUUAUAUCAGGGAUUUUUUUCUUAGAAAGGUGUUGCAGAGAUGUCUGGUACCUAGUUUAAAAAUGAUUCCAUAAUAUGUAGACUUGGGCAGUUCCUUUGUGAGGCACCUCCCUCUCAAAAUUUGAAGAUUGUGCUUGGUAAUUACUUUACAUGUAUUUGGGCUGUAUGUCAAUUUGUACGAAAUUAGACUUUCAGAAAAGUUUAUACUGGAAGGUUAAUAAUUUGUAUCUACUGAGGACUUAGAGCUAGCAGGCAAAAUGAAAAAAAAAAAAAAAGCAAGGGCUGAUUUUUAUUCUUCUAUUCAAAAUACAAGGACAGAUGCUUCUCUGUUCCAAGAGGGUUUCCUUGAGGAAGCUACUGAAGCAGAAAGACAUGAUGGAGACGAGAUCGCCUCCCCUCUUGUCAAAGUGUUAAAAAAUGUUCUGUCUUACUCUGCGCCUAGCAUUGGAAAUGAAAGUGACAUUUACGCCACAACCCACGUGUGCGCCUCCUCUCUUUUUGUUUAAGGAUGAUCAGGUCUAUCCAGGAAACAGCUCUGGCAUCCCAAACUGAAAUAAUUAGGACGUAUAUAGACCUGACAAAAAUGGAAAGGGGGUGGGGAAUCUGAGGGUCUGUCUUGCCUAAUUGAUUCCGCUAAACGGAAUGCAGGAGAUGUGAACGGCAGGACGCUCCGAUUCCCACGCUCGGGGGCAAGUGAUAAAGCGGGGCCGGGCAGCCUAUGACAGACAGCCCUGUUGGGGGGUGGGGGUAUGAAAAAAACAUCAAGUGCACACACCAUACUCAUCUCCAUCGCUUAAGAAAGUAAAGGCAUUUCCCACCCACAGCCAUCUGCAGCUUCCCAAAUGGCAGCACCAACUGGUCUGUAGCUGCUACAUAGUCUGCUUCUGUUAAUUUUUUAACCACUGUUUAAUCUGGCCAUAAUUAAGUUUGGCUUUCUUCGUUGUUUGAGAUUUUCAGAAUUCAAGGCAAGCUAGUAGAAAGCAAUUCCAAGAAAGUCCCAUGACUGCCUGCCCCUAAUGUCAAAAUCUCAGUCCAUGAGAUUAUGGCCUUGUGACCACAUUUUUGCUUUUGUUUUGGGUGAGCAAAUGUGUAUAGAGAUAAAAUACAUAUCUCUAUAUAACAGUCGUUAUUAUAAUUUCAUGAGGCUUUUUACCUCUUAACAUGAUACAUCUAGGAACUUGGUCUAAUUGUGCUAGUAGAUAUACACUAGAAGUAAAACUAUAAAGUCAUUAGCCUGUAGAAAGUUGAUUAUGAUAACAAUAUGAUAAAAAGUUUGUUUUGGAAUAGUCUCAGCUAGAUGGGUCUAAAUAGCCAUUUUAAUGUAAUCUAAAAAUAACACUAUGCCUAGCAGAAACUUUGGCGCUUUGGAGGUCCCCAUUGUUGCCUUUUCAUAAAAGUCCUUAAGUUUUCCAUAUGUCACCAAGCAAACAUUUGUAUAGGCAUUUACACAGAAAUAUAACCAUUGCAAUUAGAAAAUAUCCAAAAUAGCCUGUUAUCUUCCACGUGGCCUAGAUUAUUGACAAUCCCAAAUAUACAAUUUUUCUUUAAAAGUAGUACAACUUCCUUUUGUAGCUUCAAUUCCUUAUAUGACUUCAGACUGGAGAAGCCUGUUAAACCACUGUUAGUUUCAGUUAGAAAGUCUGAGAGACUUUAUACAUAAAUUCUCAAUUUGGCUGCUGUACACGUGCCAGAGUUUUACUACUGUAGUGACCGUUGAGAAGACCCUUGUUUAUUUACAUUUGAAGCACUGUUUGUGCAAACAACCUUUCAUUGUUAAGUGCCUGUAUUCCUUUCAUUUACUUCAUGUCCAGGGGUGCUAUUUACCUAGAACCAUUGUCUACUACAAUUAACAUUUACAUUACAAAGUGUGUGGUUUUCUUUUUCAAGGAGGUUCAAUUAAGGCAAUAAGAUGUUUGCUGGAGAAACCUAUUGUUUACUGAAAGCACUCAAUGGAGUCAAAUUACUGAAGCUUUUGCCUACAUCUUGGUCUUUUAUGUAAAUAUGUUAAAUAUAACAUCUAAGGAAAAUAAACAAUAUUAUAAUUAUGUGUUUGCCAUUGUCAUAUCAAACUUGCUUUGUAUCAUACUAAUGUUACAUAACUUAUCGAUCAAUAAAAAUACAUUUCAAUGUUA